CGAACUCUGGUAUUGAUUGGUGCUUGCAUCAUGAUUUACAUUUGAGUGAGUGGCGAACUGGUGAGUAACACGUGGGAAACCUGCCCAGAAGCGGGGGAUAACACCUGGAAACAGAUGCUAAUACCGCAUAACAACUUGGACCGCAUGGUCCGAGUUUGAAAGAUGGCUUCGGCUAUCACUUUUGGAUGGUCCCGCGGCGUAUUAGCUAGAUGGUGGGGUAACGGCUCACCAUGGCAAUGAUACGUAGCCGACCUGAGAGGGUAAUCGGCCACAUUGGGACUGAGACACGGCCCAAACUCCUACGGGAGGCAGCAGUAGGGAAUCUUCCACAAUGGACGAAAGUCUGAUGGAGCAACGCCGCGUGAGUGAAGAAGGGUUUCGGCUCGUAAAACUCUGUUGUUAAAGAAGAACAUAUCUGAGAGUAACUGUUCAGGUAUUGACGGUAUUUAACCAGAAAGCCACGGCUAACUACGUGCCAGCAGCCGCGGUAAUACGUAGGUGGCAAGCGUUGUCCGGAUUUAUUGGGCGUAAAGCGAGCGCAGGCGGUUUUUUAAGUCUGAUGUGAAAGCCUUCGGCUCAACCGAAGAAGUGCAUCGGAAACUGGGAAACUUGAGUGCAGAAGAGGACAGUGGAACUCCAUGUGUAGCGGUGAAAUGCGUAGAUAUAUGGAAGAACACCAGUGGCGAAAGCGGCUGUCUGGUCUGUAACUGACGCUGAGGCUCGAAAGUAUGGGUAGCAACAGGAUUAGAUACCCUGGUAGUCCAUACCGUAACGAUGAAUGCUAGUGUUGGAGGGUUUCCGCCCUCAGUGCUGCAGCUACGCAUAAGCAUCUGCUGGGGAGUACGCGCAAGCUGAACUCAAGAAUUGACGGGGGCCCGC
rnacentral:rRNA from 2 species